GCUUGCUCCCUGAUGUUAGCGGCGGACGGGUGAGUAACACGUGGGUAACCUGCCUGUAAGACUGGGAUAACUCCGGGAAACCGGGGCUAAUACCGGAUGGUUGUUUGAACCGCAUGGUUCAGACAUAAAAGGUGGCUUCGGCUACCACUUACAGAUGGACCCGCGGCGCAUUAGCUAGUUGGUGAGGUAACGGCUCACCAAGGCGACGAUGCGUAGCCGACCUGAGAGGGUGAUCGGCCACACUGGGACUGAGACACGGCCCAGACUCCUACGGGAGGCAGCAGUAGGGAAUCUUCCGCAAUGGACGAAAGUCUGACGGAGCAACGCCGCGUGAGUGAUGAAGGUUUUCGGAUCGUAAAGCUCUGUUGUUAGGGAAGAACAAGUGCCGUUCAAAUAGGGCGGCACCUUGACGGUACCUAACCAGAAAGCCACGGCUAACUACGUGCCAGCAGCCGCGGUAAUACGUAGGUGGCAAGCGUUGUCCGGAAUUAUUGGGCGUAAAGGGCUCGCAGGCGGUUUCUUAAGUCUGAUGUGAAAGCCCCCGGCUCAACCGGGGAGGGUCAUUGGAAACUGGGGAACUUGAGUGCAGAAGAGGAGAGUGGAAUUCCACGUGUAGCGGUGAAAUGCGUAGAGAUGUGGAGGAACACCAGUGGCGAAGGCGACUCUCUGGUCUGUAACUGACGCUGAGGAGCGAAAGCGUGGGGAGCGAACAGGAUUAGAUACCCUGGUAGUCCACGCCGUAAACGAUGAGUGCUAAGUGUUAGGGGGUUUCCGCCCCUUAGUGCUGCAGCUAACGCAUUAAGCACUCCGCCUGGGGAGUACGGUCGCAAGACUGAAACUCAAAGGAAUUGACGGGGGCCCGCACAAGCGGUGGAGCAUGUGGUUUAAUUCCAAGCACGCGAAGAACCUUACCAGGUCUUG
rnacentral:rRNA from 1 species